UCCGUAAUGGUCUAGUGGCUAUGAUUCCACGCUUUCACCGUGGCGACCGGGGUUCGAUUCCCCGUUACGGAA